AAGAUAUUAGUAAAAUAAUUACAUAACUUUGUCAAAGUUAAAUUAUAGAUUAAACCCCUAUAUAUCUUA
rnacentral:tRNA from 1 species